UACGGAGGGUGCAAGCGUUAUCCGGAUUCACUGGGUUUAAAGGGUGCGUAGGUGGGUCUGUAAGUCAGUGGUGAAAUCUCCGAGCUUAACUUGGAAACUGCCAUUGAUACUAUAGAUCUUGAAUACCGUGGAGGUCAGCGGAAUAUGUCAUGUAGCGGUGAAAUGCUUAGAUAUGACAUAGAACACCAAUUGCGAAGGCAGCUGGCUACACGAAUAUUGACACUGAUGCACGAAAGCUAGGGGAGCAAACAGG
rnacentral:rRNA from 1 species